rnacentral:rRNA from 1 species
AGUGAACGCUGGCGGCGUGCUUAACACAUGCAAGUCGAACGAGAACGGGCUAUAGCUUGCUAUAGUUGUCAGCUAAGUGGCGCACGGGUGAGUAAUGUAUAGGUAAUAUGCCUCUUACUAAGGGAUAACAAAUGGAAACGUUUGCUAAUACCUUAUACUCCUUAUUAACAGAAGUUAAUAAGGGAAAGAUUUAUUGGUAAGAGAUUAGCCUGUAUUGUAUCAGUUAGUUGGUGGGGUAAUGGCUUACCAAGACUAUGACACAUAACUGGUUUGAGAGGAUGAUCAGUCACACUGGAACUGAGACACGGCCCAGACUCCUACGGGAGGCAGCAGUUAGGAAUAUUCCACAAUGGGCGAAAGCCUGAUGGAGCGACACCGCGUGAAGGAUGAAGUCUUUCGGGAUGUAAACUUCUUUUAUAUGGGAAGAUUAUGACGGUACCAUAUGAAUAAGGACCGGCUAACUACGUGCCAGCCGCCGCAGUAA